CGCGGCUCCUGCCGAUGACGUCGCAAGCAAGGAGGAGAGGAGGAGUACAGCUCCCCGCCCGGCGCUGGAGAAAGGUAAGUGUUUAACCCCUUCCUCUCUCCAGAGCCCGGCGGGAGGGGGUCCCUGAGGGUGGAGCCCCCCAAAUAUUGGCCUACCAUGGUGACCACGGGUAAGGGGAAUCAGGGUUCCAUUCCGUACAGGGACCCUGAGAAAUGGCUACCACAUGCAAGGAAGGCAACAAGGAACACAAAUGACCCACUCCCAACGUGGGAAGGUAGUGACG